AUUGGAACACCAGUUCUCAUAUGAUCACCAAAGUUAAGCAACAUUGAGCUUAGUCAGUACCUAGAUGGGCAACUGCUUGGGAAUUCCAGGUGCCA